UCGGGAAUAUUGCGCAAUGGAGGAAACUCUGACGCAGUGACGCCGCGUAUAGGAAGAAGGUUUUCGGAUUGUAAACUAUUGUCGUUAGGGAAGAGAAAGGACAGUACCUAAGGAGGAAGCUCCGGCUAACUACGUGCCAGCAGCCGCGGUAAUACGUAGGGAGCGAGCGUUAUCCGGAAUUAUUGGGUGUAAAGGGUGCGUAGACGGGAUAACAAGUUAGUUGUGAAAUCCCUCGGCUUAACUGAGGAACUGCAACUAAACUAUUAUUCUUGAGUGCAGGAGAGGUAAGUGGAAUUCCUAGUGUAGCGGUGAAAUGCGUAGAUAUUAGGAGGAACACCAGUGGCGAAGGCGACUUACUGGACUGUAACUGACGUUGAGGCACGAAAGUGUGGGGAGCAAACAGGAUUAGAUACCC
rnacentral:rRNA from 1 species